UCUCCCCCAAGUACCAGUUCUCAUCCAGCUGUCGGAGCAGCACGAUGAUGUCCCCCUUGUUGAACCUCAGCUCCCCGGGGUUGUGUCCUCGGGAUUUCUAUCAGAGAAGGACCAGAGGUCGCAGCCAUCGUCCAGCUAACCCGGUGGCCUUCACCUGCAGCGGCCAACUGUGCGUGUUGAGGAGAACGCAGCGAGAGCAAGUAUAAUGGAGAAAGAAGAGAUAUACCGAAACCAGAAGAGACGAGGGAACUUUACCAUAUUGACUCUCAUCAAAAUGAAACUACAAAGUUCACAUAAAAUAACCGCUUUACUGACCCUUAUCUAUACUAGAAAACUCAAUGUAAUACGCAAUACAACAGAUCAUUUAGACGGCUGAAUACACCCGGAGCCGUCCCUGGCCUGGGUGCUGUGAACCCACGCGGUACAACUUGAGGGCAGCCCGAGGGGUGUUUUUCCUGGGAGGAGUGCAGGUGCACCGGCGCUUUCUGCGCUCUGUGUAGGUUCUAGGUGUGCGUUUGGGGGGUCCCGUACCCCGGAAAUCAGCAGUACCGACCGGCUCGAUCUUUGUGUUAAAGACAAGAUGGAGAUACCUUCAGCACGUUUGUUGGACUAGAGUACUGCGUGUGCGUCCUAGAACGGAUAGGCAACCUGUGCUUGUUUAUUUUAUUGCCAUUUGCAACAUCGCGGUUGGGUAUGAAAUGCAAAUCACUGAGUGUUAAGCUCAGUCCUUCUGCUGGCCCUUCAGCUGGGAACAAGUGCUGUUCCUUUAACUUCUGCUCAGCCCUGACACGGUCAGGCAGUUGAACCAAUGGUCAUUGUAGGUCCAUUCCAA